GAUGAACGCUGGCGGCGUGCCUAAUACAUGCAAGUCGAGCGAACAGAUAAGGAGCUUGCUCCUUUGACGUUAGCGGCGGACGGGUGAGUAACACGUGGAUAACCUACCUAUAAGACUGCGAUAACUUCGGGAAACCGGAGCUAAUACCGGAUAACAUAUUGAACCGCAUGGUUCAAUAGUGAAAGGCGGCUUUGCUGUCACUUAUAGAUGGAUCCGCGCCGUAUUAGCUAGUUGGUAAGGUAACGGCUUACCAAGGCAACGAUACGUAGCCGACCUGAGAGGGUGAUCGGCCACACUGGAACUGAGACACGGUCCAGACUCCUACGGGAGGCAGCAGUAGGGAAUCUUCCGCAAUGGGCGAAAGCCUGACGGAGCAACGCCGCGUGAGUGAUGAAGGUCUUCGGAUCGUAAAACUCUGUUAUCAGGGAAGAACAAAUGUGUAAGUAACUGUGCACAUCUUGACGGUACCUGAUCAGAAAGCCACGGCUAACUACGUG
rnacentral:rRNA from 1 species